rnacentral:sRNA from 2 species
UUAAAUGUUUUCUAGGGUUCCGCGGCAAUUGUGUCGGUCUGGUCCGAGAGAAAACUCACAGCCUGUUGGUUGUGUCACGGAGGGACAAAAGCCUGGGAGAU